UGGAUAGGGGUGAAAGGCCAAUCAAACUUGGAGAUAGCUCGUACUCCCCGAAAUAUAUUUAGGUAUAGCGUCUGGUUUUGUCUGUCCGGAGGUAGAGCACUGAUUAGGCUAGGGCCCUUCACCGGGUACCAAACCUAGACAAACUCCGAAUGCCGGCACAGAGCCACCAGGCAGUCAGUGGCAGGGUGAUAACGUCCUGUCGCGAGAGGGGAACAACCCAGACCACCAGCUAAGGCCCCUAAAUAACGGCUAAGUUGAUCAAAGAAAGUUGAGUUGCUCAGACAACUAGGAGGUUGGCUUAGAAGCAGCCAU
rnacentral:rRNA from 12 species